UUUGUGUCUCCGCGGAGCGCAUGCCACCUCGGGGAAAACAACGAAUCUGAGUUAGAACGGGGAGAGAGAGACACUAGCGUGAGUUUUGUUAAUCUUUUAAAGCCUCCCGGUGAACCUAGAAACCCAAAAAUUAUCUUGAACAGCAAAUGCUCUGGGGUUUAGAGAACGUUUGUUUCUUUGUCUUUUUCAUUGCCUCUUCCGUGCCAAAAUCUGUUUGCUGGAGAACACAUCCGGAAAGAGCUGUUUUCCCCUGUUCAUCCAGUGAGAAGAUAUGUUUUCUCUCUACCAGUUAGAUUUCUUCUUUUGUCAGAAAGAAGAGCAUCUGUCCUCCAGGCUGGGCUUUGUCUCCGUUUGCUCUGCGACUGCACUAGCGCAGCAAGGCUACAUAAGGAGGCUUUUCAGCAGAGGAGCCUGGUGUUGAACUCGUGCCAUGGGGAAUGAAUUCUUCUAUAGACCCCUCGUCCUCUUCUGGAAGUUAAAGGGGGGCGAUUUGCAAAAAAA
ensembl:antisense Gm16052 predicted gene 16052